rnacentral:tRNA from 1 species
GCGGGCGUGGUGAAAUUGGCAGACACGAUAGACUUAGGAUCUAUUGCCAACGGCGUGCAGGUUCGAGUCCUGUCGCCCGCACCA